rnacentral:rRNA from 1 species
AGAGUUUGAUCAUGGCUCAGGACGAACGCUGGCGGCAUGCCUGAUACAUGCAAGUCGAGCGACCCGAGAUGCUUGCUCUCAAUGGGUCAGCGGCGGACGGGUGAGUAACACGUGGGCAACCUGCCCAACAGACUGGGAUAACCCCGGGAAACCGGGGCUAAUACCGGAUAGCCUCUUUUAAUUACCUGAUUGAAAGAGAAAAGGCGGUUUUUCCGUCACUGUUGGAUGGGCCCGCGGCGCAUUAGCUAGUUGGUGGGGUAAUGGCCUACCAAGGCGACGAUGCGUAGCCGACCUGAGAGGGUGAUCGGCCACACUGGGACUGAGACACGGCCCAGACUCCUACGGGAGGCAGCAGUAGGGAAUCAUCUGCAAUGGGCGAAAGCCUGACGGUGCAAUGCCGCGUGAGUGAAGAAGGUUUUCGGAUCGUAAAGCUCUGUUGUGAGGGAAGAACAGUGACGGGAGGCAAUGCCCAUCAUAUGACGGUACCUCACCAGAAAGCCACGGCUAACUACGUGCCAGCAGCCGCGGUAAUAC